UCUUUAGAACUGGCUCUUCACACCAUUUGCCUCCUGGGAGAGAAGUCUUUCAGAACCUGUAAUUAGAGUGAUCUUGCAAAAAGAUGUCCUGCCAACAAAGCCAGCAGCAAUGCCAGGCCCCUAAGUGCCCCCCUAAGUGUCCUCCUAAGUGCCAGACACCCAAGUGCCCACCCAAAUGUCCUCCUAAAUGUCCCCUUAAAUGCCCUCCCCAGGCUCCAUGCUCUCCUCCAGUCUCUUCCUGCUGUGGCUCUAGCUCUGGAGGAUGCUGCAGCUCUGGGGGAUGCUGUGGGUCCAGCUCUGGGGGAUGCUGCAGCUCUGGAGGAUGCUGUGGCUCUGGUGGAGGCUGCUGCCUUUUUUCCCAUCACAGGAGAUCCCGCAGGAGCAGGCGCCAGAGGAAUGACUGCUGUGACAGUGGCAGUGGACACAGCCAGCAGUCUGGAGGCUGCUGUGGUGGCUCUGGAGGUUGCUGUGGGAGCUCUGGGGGCUGCUGCUGAUCAUCUGGCUCUCUCUACACCAAGAAUCAGUGAAAUGGAACCCAGGACCAAUGUAUCACCCACCUCAUCUGCAACUGCCAUGGAAUUUGCCUGCACAGAAAUGGUUCUUCAAAAACACUUAUUGAUCUCAGAUCAGUGAGCUUUGGCUCAUCUGCCUAACUUCCCUCCCACUGUUCUCUUUUGUUCAGAGACCACAUGCAACAUUAAAUUUACAUUCACAGUC